UGAAUACGAGACGCUAAGGCGUCGAAGUAGUGUAUGUCAUACUUCCAAGAAAAGCUUGCACUGUCAUAGAUAAAAAACGCCUGUACCAUAACCGACACAGGUGGGUAGGUAGAGUAUACUAAGGGGCGCGAGAUAACUCUCUCUAAGGAACUCGGCAAAAUAACUCCGUAACUUCGGGAGAAGGAGUGCCUUAUUCGUAAGGUUGCAAUAACAAGAUCCAAGCAACUGUUUAUCAAAAACACAGGUCUCCGCUAAGUCGUAAGACGAUGUAUGGGGGCUGACGCCUGCCCAGUGCCAGAAGGUUAAAGAAGUUGGUUAGCAUUUGCGAAGCUAGUGACUGAAGCCCUGGUGAACGGCGGCCGUAACGAUAACGGUCCUAAGGUAGCGAAAUUCCUUGUCGGGUAAGUUCCGACCCGCACGAAAGGCGUAAUGAUUUGGAUACUGUCUCGGAGAGGGGCUCGGUGAAAUAGACUUGUCUGUGAAGAUGCGGACUACCUGCACCAGGACAGAAAGACCCUAUGAAGCUUUACUGUAACUUGAAAUUGAAAUUGGACUUUAUUCGCGCAGUAUAGGUGGGAGGCGUUGAUUAUAAUCUUGCGGGAUUAUUGGAGCCAUCAGUGAGAUACCACUCUUGUAAUGUUAGAUUUCUAACUUUGAAUCAUUAUCUGGUCAAAGGACAGUUUCAGGCGGGCAGUUUGACUGGGGCGGUCGCCUCCCAAACGGUAACGGAGGCGUACAAAGGUUUCCUCUGAACGGUUAGAAAUCGUAUCUAGAGUGUAAAGGCAUAAGGAAGCUUGACUGUGAGACCUACAAGUCGAGCAGGGACGAAAGUCGGUCUUAGUGAUCUGACGGUACUGAGUGGAAAGGCCGUCACUCAACGGAUAAAAGUUACUCUAAGGAUAACAGGCUGAUCUCCCCCAAGAGUUCACAUCGACGGGGAGGUUUGGCACCUCGAUGUCGGCUCAUCGCAUCCUGGGGCGGUAGUACGUCCCAAGGGUUGGGCUGUUCGCCCAUGAAAGCGGUACGCGAGCUGGGUUCAGAACGUCGUGAGACAGUUCGGUCCAUAUCCGGUGUAGGCGCUAGAAUAUUGAGAGGAGCCUUCUUUAGUACGAGAGGACCGAGAAGGACAUACCUCUGGUGUACCAGUUAUCGUGCCAACGGUAAACGCUGGGUAGCUAUGUAUGGAGUGGAUAACCGCUGAAAGCAUCUAAGUGGGAAGCCCACCUCAAGAUAAG
rnacentral:rRNA from 1 species